rnacentral:rRNA from 1 species
UGGGGCAGGCUAAUCCGCCCAGGGUAAGUCGGGACCUAAGGCGAGGCCGACAGGCGUAGUCGAUGGACAACGGGUUGAUAUUCCCGUACCCGCUGGUAUGCGCCAACGCUGAACCCUCUGAUGCUAAGACCCCGAAUCCUGGUCGAAGCCUUCGGGCUUCUUCUGGGCCUAGCGGUCGACCCGAGGGGGAAGUAGGUGAGUGAUGGGGUGACGCAGGAGGGUAGCUCAGCCCGGGCGAUGGUUGUCCCGGGGUAAGGCUGUAGGGAGAGAGACAGGCAAAUCCGUCUCUCGUUAAUCCUGAGAGCUGAUGCCGAGCCGUUUUAGGUGAAGUGAGUGAUCCCAUGCUGUCGAGAAAAGCCUCUAGCGAGUGUACUGGCGGCCCGUACCCUAAACCGACUCAGGUGGUCAGGUAGAGAAUACCAAGGCGAUCGGGUGAACUGUGGUUAAGGAACUCGGCAAAUUGCCCCCGUAACUUUGGGAGAAGGGGGGCCUCGUCCGGUGAGCCGUCUUGCACGGGGAGCUGGGUGGGGUCGCAGAGGCCAGGGGGAAGCGACUGUUUACUAAAAACACAGGUCCGUGCGAAGUCGUAAGACGCUGUAUACGGACUGACGCCUGCCCGGUGCCGGAACGUUAAGAGGACCGGUUAGACCAGCAAUGGUCGAAGCUGAGAAUCUAAGCGCCGGUAAACGGCGGUGGUAACUAUAACCAUCCUAAGGUAGCGAAAUUCCUUGUCGGGUAAGUUCCGACCUGCACGAAUGGCGUAACGACUUCCCCGCUGUCUCAACCACAG